rnacentral:rRNA from 1 species
UCUAGAGAUAGAGCGUUCCCCUUCGGGGGACAGAGUGACAGGUGGUGCAUGGUUGUCGUCAGCUCGUGUCGUGAGAUGUUGGGUUAAGUCCCGCAACGAGCGCAACCCUUGAUCUUAGUUGCCAGCAUUYAGUUGGGCACUCUAAGGUGACUGCCGGUGACAAACCGGAGGAAGGUGGGGAUGACGUCAAAUCAUCAUGCCCCUUAUGACCUGGGCUACACACGUGCUACAAUGGAUGGUACAAAGGGCUGCAAGACCGCGAGGUCAAGCCAAUCCCAUAAAACCAUUCUCAGUUCGGAUUGUAGGCUGCAACUCGCCUACAUGAAGCUGGAAUCGCUAGUAAUCGCGGAUCAG